AGUGAAUGCUAGGGGGUAUGCUUAACACAUGCAAGUUGAACGGAACACUUGUUUAGUAGCGCACGGGUGAGUAAUAUAGGAGAACCAAGCACUAAGUUCGGAACAAGAGAUACGUCUGUAUAAAUGCCGGAUAUUGAAAGAUUUAUCGCUUAGUGUGGGGCUCCUAUGGGAUUAGGUUGUUGGUUGUGUAAUGGACAACCAAGCCGGUGAUCCCUAGUUGGUCUGAGAGGAUGAUCAGCCACACUGGGACUAGAAACAAGGCCCAGACUUCCAUGGAGGGCAGCAGUGAGGAGUAUGGACAAUGGGCGCAAGCUU
rnacentral:rRNA from 1 species